UGGAAAGCUCAGAUCUUUAAUGAAGGUCGGACAGAUUUACAACCUGAGAGUCAGCAGAUACUGAAAUACUGUGAAGUCUCAAGAACAAUAUGUACAUAUAACAAUGACACUUAUGAUCAUUUAAGAGUUUUAAUAUUAGAAGAAGACUAAAUGAAUUUUAGCUGAGUUGGAAGAAUCAGCUGGACACAUCAUCACAUUUAUAAUUCGUGCUGUGAAUUCUGGUUUCAGAUUUAAAUGUAAAUGUAAAGAUUUGCAUGAAUGAGCAGGAAGCCCUGCAGCAGACUCACAGACGGAUGCAGAGGGGAGGAGUGUGGAGGUGUGUGCUGUGUGUUUGGAGGAGGGACUCCUUCAGUUAGAGAAGUGAGGCGUCACAAGUUCCUGGUUUCCAGUGAAGAAGAAGAGAGGCAGCAGUAAACCAUCAGAGCCUCAUCAUGAAAGUCCAUCACACUCUGAUCUGCUUCUUCUUCCUUUCUCUGCAGGAUGGAAACCCUGAAGUCACCAAUGCUCAGAUUCUUCACUAUGGAGUCAUUGGAGGAGAUUUUAAAGCUGGAUUCACCUUUAAUUCUCCAGGAACAUGGAAGAUGUUCUGCAGAGAACAAUGUGAAGGAGAAAACAUUCUUAUUAAAACAACUGAUGUCAGAGCUCAAACAGGCAGAUACAGCAUUGAAUAUGAAAACAAUGUUUUAUCUGUGAGCAUCUCAAAGCUGACUGAGUCUGACUCUGGACAGUACAGCUGUGGUUUGGGUGGAUCUCCAUCAUCAGCUCCAUUCACACCGUUUGUGAUCGUUGUUGCUGAAGCACUGCUGGAUGGAAACGAUGAUCCUGCUCAGCUGAAACACUUCAAUAAAGAAACUGGAAGCUCUCUCACAGUCGCAUGUUCCUUUAAACAAGCUGGAUACAGAAAGAUGUUCUGCAGAGGAGAAUGUGGAGGAGAGAAGAUUCUUGUUCAUACAGAGCAUCUCAGUGCUCAGAGAGACAGAUACAACAUUGGAUAUGUUUCAGAAUCAGGAGUUCUGUAUGUGAGCAUCACACAGCUGACCAAGUCUGACUCAGGACGGUACAGAUGUUUACUGAUUGGAUCUUCCAGCAGCUCAUCCAGAGAGUUUGAGGUCACUGUCACAGAUGCAGCUGGACCAUCAGCCACAACUACAGGAAGCUCCACACCUUCAUUAACUUGGACUGGAAGCACUGAGCAGCCUGAAGGAGCAGCAUCAGAUGUGCUGCUGUUUGUGGGUCUGACUCUGGCUCUCAUCAUUAUCCUGUUAUCAGUGUCUGUGCUGAUAUUCUGCAAGAAAAGAUCCUCUAAACCAAAGGAUCAUCCUGUGGGAACUGAACGUGAUGCUGUCACAGAGACCAACACAGUGUAUGAGAAUAUCCGAGCAGAGGGCAGACACAGCAGAUCUCCUCCUUACUCUUAUGCCAAAUACACCAAACCGUCUGGAGUUGAAAGCAAUGAUGACCACAGCUUGGUCACUGCAGCCACUUCUCAGCACAGAACUGAAGAUGACUCGAGCAAACUCACCUACUCUGUGGUGAAUUUUUCCAAGAAGAGCAGUGACUCUGCCAACAGCACGUCCUGCAGUAACACCAGUGAAGUUAUCUACUCCGAGCCUCGGGUUAAUGCAAACCACUCCGGAGGUGAUCCAUUGUACUCUACUAUAACCUAGCUUUAGCUCCUGUGCUGGUGGCACAGUUUAUUUCUCACAGUGUUCAAAAUGAAGCAGCGCUUCCAUCAAAAUCUGAAGAUUCAUCCUUCCAUCCAUUUUCUUAUCUGGAGCCUUGUCACAGGGGCCCAGACCCAGAGAAGCCCAGACCUCCCUCUCCCCAGCCGCCUCCUCCACCUUAUCUAGGGGAACACCAAGUUGUUCCCAGGCCAGCUGAGAGAUAUAAUCUCUCCAACGUGUCCUGGGUCUGCCCCGGGGCCUUCUCCCGGUGGGACAUGCCCAGAACACCUCACCCAGGAGGCGCCCGAAGGCAUCCUUAUCCUCCUUUCAAUGUGGAGCCCGUCUUGGAUGGCCAAACUCCUCGCCCCAUCUCUAAGGGAGAGGCCAGCCACCCUUUGGAGGAAACUCAUUUCCCCGCUGUAUCCAUGAUCUUGUUUUCUGAGGUGAGGGUGGGGACAUAGACCAACCUGUAAACUGAGAUCUUUGCUUUUACACUCAGCUCUCUCUUUACUGCAGCCACAGCACCGAUCCAUCUGUCAAUCUCCCCUUACUCAUGAACAAGACAUGAGAUACUUAAACUCCUCCACCUAAGACUGUAAAAUCUAAGAUUCUUUUUUCUUUUAUGUUACAAUUUGAUGUAAUUUGUCUUUAGGUUAGUGUUACAGUCAUUUAAAUUAAGAUCAGAGGUGGUAAGGUUUCUCCACCUAAGCUAAUAAUCCUUAACUAAUAACUGCUUGACCUACGUUUUUAAAGAAUUAUACACAAACAAAAGAAAGAAAGAAACUGGUAAUGAGAUAUUAAUACACAGCUCACCCAGUGUGGAGCCACUGAAUCCAGACUCAUCCGUCGGAUUGGCAGAUGGAGAAGCGUGAACACGUUUCCACUGCUCUAGAUCAGACGGCAGGUUUAAAUAUCACAACUAUAAUAAUCCAUAAUUAUGUGGAUAUGCAUAUCAGAUAGUUUUUAGUGAAAUAUAAGCCCUACAGAAAGGCAGGGAAAGCCCUGUAACUUACUUUAAAACUAAACGGUGGACAGAGCUACAGACCCCUGACAGCCUUACCCAGUUAGCUAGCUGGUAAAAGGACAGGUAAUGUUUGUCAUGCUGUUGCACACACAGCACACUCAUUUGUUUCAGUUCGUCAGUUGCCACAAGACAGCUGACCAACAUGUGCUUGAUAACCUAAGACUGCUGGGUGCUACAGACUACAGUGUACGCUGUACACCAUACUUAAUCGUUUUGCUGCAUCAGUCUGCCUCUGAGUUAAUUUGUGUUUAAGGGUUAGUCCUAUGAUAACAUGCAUGAACUGUAUCUUUAUUCGACCUCGUAUCUCUAUUGUUGUUUAAGACGUGUGUUUUAGGGACUUAAUAAAUGAUUAAACAAUUUCUAAACAAUGAUAUCUUUUGUAGUUUGGAGGCUAAACAGGCCUAAUACACUGAAUAUGUUUUCAGUGGUAGUCGAGCAUCACUUCAGUAAGUAUGUAACAGAAAGAGGAAGCAGCUGCUGGUUUUCUAAAUCUAUUUGACCCAACAUUCAGUGAAGUGAUUAAAAAGAGGAAGUAAGAACUAGUUACCGUAAACAAGCUGUCACACAUGGGUGGACCUCCUUUACUUCAAGCAUGACUCAGUUUUUCUGUCUUUGUGGGGUUGUUUAACCUUUUCAUUUGUAUCAUGAGUAACUUUUGCAGCAUUUUUUAUUUGCAUUUAGUCACAC
ensembl:lncRNA